UUACAUCCAGAGAAGAUAUUUUUCCAUUCAGAUGUGCAGACCUGCAAACCAGCUCACGGAAUCUGUUCCCUUCACCUGAUUACAACUAUAUGCAUACAAAACUGGACCCUCUUGUGAUCUCUUAUCAUAAUCCUAAUAUGGAUCCCUGACAACUACCUGGACAGGAGGAGCAACAUGAGAUCCAACAUCCUGUACCUACUCAACAACCUGAACCAGCUCUGC
rnacentral:lncRNA from 1 species